ACAUCACAUUUAGAGGCCUAUUAGAGGAGAUAGCAGUCAGUGAGGGUUUUAGGAGCAGAGUUGAUAUACUUGGUGACUAAUUGGAUAAGAAGUAUGAAGAAGGAGGUGGAUUUUUAAACGACCCUAAGUCUUUUAGUUCAGGUAACUUGCUAUAUCAAUCAAGAAAGGAGUUAUCACUAAGGAAAAGAGUAAGAGCAGGAAAAGGAAAGAACUCACUACUACUGUGCCUGGUCAUCACCAUAUAUGAUUUCAUGAUUCUCUGAAAAUUCCAGUGAAGGAGACAUAAUAAGACUAAGUGAUUUGUCCAAGUUUACACAGCUAAAGAGACCAGGAUUCAAGCUCAGGACCUUUUAACUGCAAAGCCAGUGCCCUUUUGUUACAACGUCAUGAAAUCCUUCCUGGCCGGCCGCGGUGGCUGACGUCUGUAAUCCCAGCACUUUGGGAGGCUGAAGCUGGCGGAUCAUGAGAUUUAUAUCUUCGUGUGCAGAGAAAAAUGUCGGGAAGAAUAUACACUAGAAUGUUUACAACUAGAGAGAAUGUGCCACCUUAGACUACGGAGAAAAGGGAGAAAAUUAAUUUUGGGUAAGUACCAUUUUGUAUUGCUCAAAUUUUUUGAGUGCAUUGUUAUUUUCAAAUUAAUUUUAACCAAAAUAACACAUCACAUAAAGUAAAAUAGUACUACAAAGCUUGUGAGGAAGUUCACAGGCCUCUUUUCUAUCUCUCCAUGCUCUGAUUCACAUUCCCCACAGGCAUUCACUUUCAACUCUUUAAGCUAUUUUUUCCGGUUUUAAACUCUAUAUUUUGAAUAACACAUUUGUACUGCUAUUUCUUGGCUUUCCCAUUUCAGACAUUAUCUAUUGACAUGACAUUCCACCAUGGAAAAUGGAUAUUUAUACUAACCUCUUACCCAGCCCCAUACACUCUUCUACUUUCUCUCACUCCAUUUCCCUCAAAUCAUGUCAUAUUUGGGUCAAAUAUAUAUUGAAUGUUACAUUAAUAUGCCAGCAUAAAUAUAGCAAUGUAGUACACUAUAUUGCUUCCAUAGCAAAACAAUAUAGUGUAGUAUAAUGGCAUCUUCUUUCUUAUACAACUUUCUCCUCCUGAAAAUCACUUAAUUUUAUUUCGCUUACUUGCCUUCCUAUGUUCUUAUUGAUAACUUACUUCUAAACAUUUAUUAGCUCUCUAAACAUCCUCUUAAUAUAACAGCUGGACACAUAGCUAAUCUAUCAGUGUCUUCUUGAAACAAAUGAUAAUGGAUACAGCAAAAGCAAUACUAAGAAGGAAUUUUAUAGCUAUGAGUGUUUUUAUCAAAAAAAGAAGAAGAAAAAGCUUCAACUGAACAAUCUAAUGAUGCAUCUUAAAGAACUACAAAAGCGAGAGCAAACCAAACCUAAAAUUAGAAAAAAAAAAUAAAGAUCAGAGCAGAAAUAAAUGAAACUGAAUUGAAAAAAAAUACAAAAGAUCAAUGACACCAAAAUUUGGUUUUUCAAAAAGUUUUUAAAAAUUGGCAAACCUUUAGCCAGACUAAGAAAAAAAGAGAGAAGAUCCAAAUAAAUAAAAUCAGAAAUGUAAAAGGAGACAUUACAACUGAUACUGCAGAAAUUCAAAGGAUCAUUAGUGUCUACUAUGACCAACUAUAUGCUGAUAAAUUGGAAAAUCUAGAAGAAAUUGAUAAAUUCCUAGAAACAUAUAAUCUACCAACACUGACCUGGGAAGAAAUCCAAAACCUGAACAGACCAAUAAGAAGUAAUGAGAUUGAAGCUGUGAUAAAAAGUCUCCCACUAAAGAAAAGCCCAGGAACUGAUGGCUUCACUGCUGAAUUCUACCAAACACUUAAAGAAGAAUUAAUACCAAUCCUACUCAGACUAUUCCAAGGCUGGGUGCUGUGGCUUACACCUGUAAUCCCAGCAAAGUAGCUGGAUGUGGUGGCACACACCUGUAAUCCCAGCUACUCAGGAGGCUGAGGCAUAAGAAUCACUUGAACCUGGGAGGUGGAGGUUGCAGUGAGCUGAGAUUGUGCCACUGCACUCCAGCCUGAGGUAACAGAGUGAGACUCUGUUAAAAAAAAAAAAGAAAAGAAAAAGAGCAGAAGCUAUUUUGAAAAAUAGAGGAGGAGGGAAUACUUUCAAAUUCAUUCUAUGAGGCCAGUAUUAUCCUGAUUCCAAAACCAGAGAAAGACUGUCAAAAAAGAAAACUACUACAGGCCAAUAUCUCUGAUGAAUGUUGAUGCAAAAAUCCUCAACAAAAUACUAGCAAACCAAAUUCAACAAUACAUUAGAAAGAUUAUUCAUCAUGACCAAGUGGGAUUUACCCCUUGGAUGCAAGGAUGGUUCAACUAUGCAAAUCAGUCAGUGUGAUACAUUAUAUCAACAGAAUGAAGGAUGAAAACCAUAUGAUUAUUUCAAUUGAUGCUGAAAAAGCCUUUGAGAAAAUUCAAUAUUCCUUCAUGGUAAAAACCCUCAAAAAAACCUGGGUGUAGAAGGAACAUACCUCAUAACAUAAUAAAAGCCAUAUGUGACAGACCCACAGCCUGUAUCAUGCUGAAUGGGAAAAAAUUGAAAGCCUUUUCCUCGAAGAUCUGGAAUAUGACAAGGAUAUCCACUGUCACCACUGUUAUUCAACAUACCACUGGAAGUUCUAGCUAGAGCAAUCAGACAAGAGAAAGCUAUAAAGGGCAUCCAAUGUGGAAAUGAAGAAGUCAAAUUAUCUUUGUUUGCUAAUGAUAUGAUAUAUUUGGAAAAAUCUAAAGACUCCACAGGAAAACUAUGAGAACUGUUAAAUAAAUUCAGUAAAGUUGUAGGAUACAAAAGCAACAUAUGAAGAUCAAUAGCAUUUCUAAAUGCCAACAGGGAACAAUAUGAAAAAGAAAUAAAAAAAUUUACAAUAGUCACACAUAAAAUUAAAUACCUAGUAAUUAACUUAACCAAAGAAGUGAAAGAUCUCUAUAACAAAAACUACAAAACAUUGAUGAAAGAAACUGAAGAGGACACAAAAAAUUGGAAAAAUAUUUCAUGCUCCUGGACUAGAAGAGUUGAUAUUGUUAAAAUGUCUGUACUACCCAAAGAAGUGUCACCAAUGGAGGCUACAGAACAGCAAAUAUUGCAGAACAGCAAAUGUUGCUGCCUGAUCCUUCCUCUGAAAGCUUUGUCUCAGAGGGGCACCUGGCUGUAUGAGGUGUCAGUCGGCUCCUGCUGGGAGGUGUCUCCCAGUUAGGCUACUAAUCUAAUCUUUUUUCAUUCUUUAUUAAUUUUUAUUCUCAUGCCUUGGUAUCCAAUAGUUAUAAACCUCUAACAAGACUGAC